GUCCAACGGGUCAAAAGCAGUUAGGUGCCCUACUCCCAUUGGUUGCUGCAGAUCAUUCACUCAGCUUUCAGAUCCCUGGGAUUGUUAACGGCUGCACAGGAGAAGCCACUUAAAGUGCAGAUAGAAGGUAAGGAAGACAAAAUAUCACAGGAGAGAAGAUCUUAAGGGAGAUGAAGGACAUACAUUUGAGAGCUGAACUUCGCAAUCUCAUCAUCAGUCCCACAGAAAGGAAGUUCUGAUAAUGGACUGCAGGAUUUGGUCUUGUGAAUGGUUCAGCACACAGCAGAGCAAGCACAGUAUGACCCACUUCGAAACUCCAUCCCCGCUUUUCAGCAUUGUGACAUGGUCUUUCCCCAGGCGAAAGCUACGCACUGGAGCGCCACACGCUAUGUUUGCAUCUAUCACCUCUAAAUAUAAUCAGCCAGCGCUUCUACUGGUGCACUUCAAAGUGGGUAUCAUUCAGUUCUGUGAGGGCUCUUUGGGUGAAAUUCACCUCUGUGUAGAGGCCCAGCACCAGGCCCAUGGCACCACUUCAGUCUAACAUAAACCCUUUUGCACAGGGGCGCAUUUGAUCCAGUGGAACUAAGGGCUGCAGCAACAUGCCCUCUUCAUCUAAGCUGCGAAUGAGAAGUGAAGAUGAGCUCUUCUACACCAGGCGAAUAGAGAGAACCUUGGGGCACAGUUAUACACUAAUUUCAAAGACUGGCAAGUGUGUGUGGAGGGAACUAGAAAGUUUCUACUGAAGUAUAAUUAAGACUGUUUUCAAGUGCAGUUGUAACCGUAAAAUGGAAGAGUAAGGGAGUUAAAAUGGAACCAUUUACAGAGCAGUAAAAGCUCCGCUGCAUGAGGCCCUCUGUGUGUACAAAAUUAUAGGAUUGGAAACCAUUCAGCCAGUCCAGUGCCUGAGUGGCUUGAGGAUCCUAAAGUGCUUUUUAAUGUUUUCUAUAUAGAGAAGAGAACAUAAGGGAGGGAUGGGGGGGAAACACUUUGGAUGAAAUAAGCACAGAUCCCAUACACUCCUCCUUUCCUUCCAAGCCUUUUUAAAGUUUGAUUCAAACUUGGGCGGCAAAUGUGUGGCCUGCUGGCUUCCCCCUUGGGUCUAGCAGGUGCUGUUCCACCCUGAAUGAAGGCUGUCUGCAUGGCUGCCUCAGUUUACAUGCAAUUCACAUUUUCAACCGUUUCUUUGCA